rnacentral:misc_RNA from 1 species
GAUGAAGAACGCAGCGAAAUGCGAUAAGUAAUGUGAAUUGCAGAAUUCCGUGAAUCAUCGAAUCUUUGAACGCAUAUUGCGCCCUCCGGUAUUCCGGGGGGCAUGCCUGUCCGAGCGUCAUUGCAACCCUCAAGCGCGGCUUGUGUGUUGGGCCUUCGUCCCCCGUGGACGGGCCCAAAAGGCAGUGGCGGUGCCGCGGUCCGGUGCCCGAGCGUAUGGGGCUUCGUCACCCGCUCUUGUAGGCCCGGCCGGCGCUUGCCGACACAUCAAUCUUUUUUCCAGGUUGACCUCGGAUCAGGUAGGGAUACCCGCUGAACUUAAGCAUAUCAAUAAGCGGAGGA